UACAGAGGGUGCGAGCGUUGUCCGGAAUCACUGGGCGUAAAGGGCGCGUAGGUGGCGCGGCAAGUCAGUGGUGAAAGCUCGACGCUCAACGUCGAGUCGGCCACUGAUACUGCCGCGCUGGAGCACUGUAGAGGCUCAUGGAAUUCCGGGUGUAGCGGUGGAAUGCGUAGAGAUCCGGAAGAACACCGGUGGCGAAGGCGGUGAGCUGGGCAGUUGCUGACACUGAGGCGCGACAGCGUGGGGAGCAAACAGG
rnacentral:rRNA from 1 species